rnacentral:tmRNA from 1 species
UGCCUGGGGUUGAAGCGUUAAAACUAAUCAGGCUAGUCUGGUAGUGGCGUGUCUGUCCGCAGGUGCCAGGCGAAUGUAAAGACUGACUAAGCAUGUAGUACCGAGGAUGUAGGAAUUUCGGACGCGGGUUCAACUCCCGCCAGCUCCACCA